rnacentral:rRNA from 1 species
GACGAACGCUGGCGGCGUGCUUAACACAUGCAAGUCGAACGAAGUGGCGGACGGGUGAGUAACGCGUAAUCAACCUGCCCUUCAGAGGGGGACAACAGUUGGAAACGACUGCUAAUACCGCAUACGGAAGGAGGGGAUUGCGUCUGAUUAGCUAGUCGGAGGGGUAACGGCCCACCAAGGCGAAGAUCAGUAGCCGGUCUGAGAGGAUGAACGGCCAAAAGGGGAAUGAGAAACGGCCCAGACUCCUACGGGAGGCAGCAGUGGGGAAUGUUCGGAAAUGGACGAAAGUCUGACGGCGCAACGCCGCGGGGGAGAUGAAGGCCUUCGGGUUGUAAAGCUCUGUUAAUCGGGACGCGGUACCGGAAUAGAAAGCCACGGCUAACUACGUGCCAGCAGCCGCGGUAAUUC